rnacentral:rRNA from 1 species
CGCAUAGGUGGCUCGUGCAAGGGGGCGGUGAAAGCCCGGGGCUCAACCCCGGGUCUGCCGGACCGACUGCGGAGCUUGAGCACACUAGGGGCAAGUGGAAUUCCGGGUGUAGCGGUGGAAUGCGUAGAGAUCCGGAAGAACACCGGUGGCGAAGGCGGCUUGCUGGGGUGUGACUGACACUGAUGCGCGACAGCGUGGGGAGCAAACA